UUAGAUCUGUGUGUUUUGCAUCAGAGAGCUGAAAACCUAUCUCUGUGCUGGCCCCCAGUAGGGCAGAACAACCUUACCUGGUACUGUUGGCAGGCCUGAGGCAGAGGCAGAAAUGAAGGGGACAAGAGCACAAGGAAAGGGAAGAAAGUAGUUGAAAGAAAAAGCAAGUUGAAAGCUGAGGUCUCUCUGGAGAUGAAGAUUCACUCAUUUAACCUGCAUUGAACAUAUCGAAUAACCCUACUAUAGGCUCGUACGAGAUGGAAUGUUAAAAAAAGCUAAAGUUGUCAUAAAGAACAGCGGAUAUAAUCUAUUAUCCAAUUUAAUAUACCCUGUCAUUCAGCUCUAGCUCUAUCCCAUUGAUUUUGUUUCUCUGGAGAACCUUGAUUGAUGCAAUUGAAGAUAAGGAUUUGAGGGGGCAAAUAUAUAGGUUUCCUGUGGGUCACAGGUGGAUUACAUGAAAAAACUGGAUUUUGGUCAUAUUAAAAGAGAUUCUACCAAAACUGUCUUUGUAAAGGAUGGCAGUAGGCCAUCUAAAGCUUCAGAAUGAAGACAUUUCAUCAAAGAAGACAUAUAGAUGGCCAAAAGGCACAUGAAAAAAUGCUCAA